UACGUAGGGUGCAAGCGUUGUCCGGAAUUAUUGGGCGUAAAGAGCUCGUAGGCGGUUCGUCGCGUCGGCUGUGAAAACCUGAGGCUCAACCUCAGGCCUGCAGUCGAUACGGGCGGACUUGAGUACUGCAGGGGAGACUGGAAUUCCUGGUGUAGCGGUGAAAUGCGCAGAUAUCAGGAGGAACACCGGUGGCGAAGGCGGGUCUCUGGGCAGUAACUGACGCUGAGGAGCGAAAGCGUGGGGAGCGAACCGG
rnacentral:rRNA from 1 species